rnacentral:lncRNA from 1 species
ACUUCCAAGGGGUUUUAAAUUAAGCAUGGUGCUUAUGUUAAAAAAAGCCCUCCUGAAUCAAAUUAGACAUGGUGUCUAGGUUGAUUUUUGAGCCGAUAGUAUGCUAUAGUAGAUAUAGGAUAUUUUGUUGGACUAACCCAUGCAGGAAAACUUUCACUAUCGACAUGGGAAGUCCUGAGAUACACUCACAUUUUUGACAAAGAGAGAGACACAUGAAGUUUAACAAUUUACACAAGGAAGGCAUAGCUCACAAAAGAUGAUCCAUGGAGGGUGCCACAAAAACGAUGCACAACCACUAAGAAAGGAAAGCUUCCACAAGGUGAUACUGUACCAUCACUCUUCAAGUAAGGUAACAUCUUAAGGUACUUGUCUAUCACUUUUAUAAGUUUCUCCUUGGUUCUCGCGUUCACAUGAAUAAAAGAGACAAACAUGUAUGAUUUACAACUCUAGAUUAACCAACCCAAUCGAUUCAACAUGUUUAGUCCUUCCACCUUUGUGAUCCCACGCUUCUAAUCAUAUGAGCUAAAAUGUUGCACACUCAAUCUGUGGGAGAUAUAAAAAAACGUAACUAUAGAUAGAUUAUCUUUCUAUUAGGUUGAGCGAUCUGAUCUGACAAAUGUUUUAAAAUGCUACACUCAUGAUCUUAUUAUCCAUCAACUUUGUCUUGCUCACUAUGCUUAAGGUUAGAGAAGAAAAAAUACACUUUUGGUUCUGUUGGUGUUUUCCACCAACAGGGCCCAUGCACUUGAUCUCCGCCUUGUCUUUAUGAGCAGGUACACUUCGAGCAAAAUAUGAAGGAGUUUUUCAACUCCCAGACUCCACCAAGUGAAGAACCUAGAUCAACGAGCACAAACACACUGGAGAUACUAGACACUCAUGCAAUCACUGCCCUGAGAUGCUUGAAGAUGUAACUACUGGAGUAACCCCGUCAUGGAAGUAAUUACUGACCUUCUGCCGGUCAAGAGCGGCAAUCCAGGAUGCACCGUCAUCCCGAUCUCCAUCGGCAUGGUGGACUUCCUAGAAGCACUCUGCGACUUUGGCUCCAGCGUCAACAUUAUGCCCAGGGGAGGCCAUUCCUAAAUACCUCAGGAGCUGUCAUCUACGCUAGUGCUGCCAAGAUCAGUUUCUACAUCAAGGGAAGGAAGGAGAUGUUUUCCUUCAAGAACAAGACUAUACAAAUCUCAGAUCAAUCCCGACAUGAACCAAGGAAGAGGACCAACAGGAGGAACAGGAACAAGCAAGUGUGGACCGAGUUAGCUAAGAUGGUCACUGCAGUUCAAGGAGGUCAAGAUCAUCUAUUUAAGUCACCGUUCCUGACCAAAAAGGAUGACCCAGGCAUGCCAAGCAUCCAGUGCUCCAUUAAUGGAUGCAACUUCUAGAAGACGCUUUGCGACACCGGGUCAGGCAUCAACAUAAUGGCCGCAGUCACCUAUCAACUCCUGCAUGGAACCAUGUCCCUACAACCAACAUACAUUCAGCUUCAGAUGGCAGAUCAGACAUUCCGAAAUGUUGAAGACAAGUACGAUCCACCCAUCAUUCAUAGGAGACCGUUCCUCAGCACCGUUAAAGCAAUCAUCUACAUUGGAACCGGAGAAGUCCACAUGCACUUCCCCUCUGAAAAGGUACGCCGCUAUUUUACUGACCCUAACUAUAUAGUUGAAGAUUCUAAGCAGGUCAGGACAAGAAGAAGACGACGCAACCGCAACCAGAGGAGGCAAAUCAUCAAGGACGGAUGGGCAGACUACGAAGGAGAAGUGAUAAGGUCUCAAGAAAUACAACUUGAACAGAACUGUCCUGAGGAGGCCGUAGCACCAAGGCAGGUGUGGAGAAAGAAGAUAGUUAUACACGAAGAGGAAGCACCGUCGGAACCACCGACUACGCCAUCCAGCGAAUCUCAGAAUGACUCAGGAAAUGGAGAGUACCGUUCGGAGGACUUAAAAACACCGAACGCCUUGCCAAGAGGUAAACUUGGUAGUUAUCUUUUUCCUUUCAAUUAUUUUAGUUAAUCAGGUUCAUAUCAUCUUGAAAAGAAAAUAAAAAUGUUAAGUAAGCCCCAUGUGAGUAUGCUCAUGGCAUAAAACCCAUAAGUACAUUCACUGUGGUGGCAUCAAAAUAAAAUAAAUAUAUUCCUGUCCUAUAAAAAUAAAAAUAUAAAAAUAAAUUUAUGAUCCUACUAAAGAGACUAACAUUUAUUGAGGAGACUCAACAUGAUAAAGGCUAGAUAUUUAUGCUAACACUUAACUAGUUCCACAAAGCUUUGUUGUCUAUUUGAGCUCCACAGAAUUCAAGGAUCAAAGAAGACUAGCAGACGGAGGACAUCCUACUCGCUGUUAGAGUGCUGCAGACAAUCAAAUUCACCUUCGCCAUGUGCUAGCUACAACAGAAGAAAAUACGUCAAAAUCCAGCUUGGGGGAGAGCACCCCCAUUUAUCCAGCUAAGUAUUCUACUCACGUUUAUACUACUCUAAUAAUAAAAUGAUGCAUAAUCAUAGAAACCCAAAUAAAGAUUUUGUGCUUAUAUAUAUCUUUGCUUAGUUUGCUAAAUAAAUAAAUAAAUAAAGUCUGCUAUGAACCAUCACGAUAAGCUCUCACAUGGAAAUGAUGAAUAUUUACUCUGCCAUGACUAGUUAUCAAAAUUGAAAUCUCUCUCAAGUUUAGGCAUGACUGUUAUUAAUUAAGAUUUGCUCUAAACCUGAACUUGUGGGGAGAGUACUUGAUCUGAAGUCUAAGUCGUUAACGGAUAUGAUAUGGAAAGGUUGAGCUGCUGUUUAUCUGUUCCUAGAGAUGCUAGAAUUCUGGAGAAUUUUAUCUUUGAAAAUCAUUAAAAUAACACAUGAUGAGUUCCUGUAUGAUGAGAGUUUAAAUUCCUACCACAACCAUAUAUACAUGCUUGCUAGACUUUGAGCCACAUAUUUACUUUUUACUGCUUAUGAGCAUUGAGUGUGGUCAAGCUGUGUAGACCCUUAGGAGCUUGUCAUGUGGUUAAAUCAAGAUUCACUUGCACGUUCACUCAUACAUGUUGCUUCUACUUCGGAAGUACCAUCCACAUAUAUCCAUUUUCAUCUCCAGAACCACCUAAAAAUAUUCUACUCCUAAUCCGGGAGAGAAUAGCCAAAAACAUUUAUGUUCUUCCCUAUGAAAUAAAUGCUCAAGUUAUCUUGUUACUACCACUUGCUAUAUUAUCUCAUGAGAUGAGUGCUCUAAUAAAAAAAAGAGAGAAAAAAUUACGAGGAAAUAAAAAGGGGCAAGUGCCCGGAACCUCGAAAGAAAAGAAAAAAAAAAGAAAAAAAAUUGAGACGAGAGGUAAAAAUGGACAAGUGUCCGACAGUAGAAUUAGGGGUACAAGAUACCCACCUGAGAGAAAAGAAAAAAGAAAAUAUAGAGCAUCUCAUUCUCCUCACAAAGUUUCAAAAGAGCAAGAAAGGUAUGUAUCCCCUCAAAAGAGCAUGAGUAGAAUUAGACUUUCACCAUUGUUAUCACCAUCAUCACCAUACACCAUUCAUUCGCCACACAUGCACAUCUUGAUUUGACUUAUUGACUUGUUCUUCUGGAUCCAUGGUUUGACUAUGCAAUAAAUGUCUUGUAAGUAUGUAUUAGCUGUCUCCCUCCUAUGAGCUCCAGAUAUCAAAAGCCUUAUUAGAGUAGGGUGAGAGAGAAGGCAAUGCCACUAUGCCUUAUACCACAAAUACCACAUACUUUGAGAGAAGGCAUACACCAUUAAUGCCUUGGUAAGGAUCCAGAAAUACCACAAAAGAGAGACUAGAGAGAGUCAUACAAGGAAUCUCUGAGUUUUAUUUGAAAAUCUGCAAAAACUCCAGAGCCAUAGCAGAUCAAGAAUAAGAGACAUGGUGCUUGACUAGACCGUUCUAUCUUUUAACUACUCAAGACAGAAGUGACGGUUACAAGUCCCAUGGUGAAAGGUAAAUGAGUAAGUUUUAAGUCUUAACAGUUUACUCUAACCAGAGAUGAGAUCUUGUUUAAACGCAUGUGUAUCUUUAAGUUAUGAAACCACUGCAGAAACUCUUGAGUUCAUCUUUGCUCAGGGACGAGCAAAGGUUAAGCUUGGGGGAGUUUGUUGACGGUCCAUAAUGCUUACAUUUAACCAUCAACUAAUCAUAGAAAAGGAUCCAAAUGCAACCAACACCUAGACUUAGGGUUUUAUCUGACAGAAUUCCACAAGUUUUGGUGUUUGCCUAUUUCUGCAGAGGGUUAUCAGGAAAUACGGAAGAAAGGCCCACACGUCGGGUUUACAUAGAGAUAUUAACGUGCCGCACAAUUAUCUACCAUCUAGAAGACUCCAGAAGCCACGGGACCGAAGCGGAGGCCGAGGGGGCUCAGGCACUGGGCGCCCGCCCUACCUUACUGGGCGCCCGCCCUCCCCCCUGGACCAAACAGAGUCCAAUUCGGGGACAACGCUCCACCGACCUAAAGGAUCAAGGAAAACCACACGAUCAAUGUCGGUUUGAUCCGACGGCCCAGAUUCACUUGAAGGGACUAUAAAACCAGACCCCCCUGGCCCCUGGAGAUCAUACCUCUUCUACAGAAUCAAAGCUAGGGUUUCAAUUCUUCAUCCAAGUAGAGAGGAUCCCUCUAGUUCUUCUAGUUCUACCUCUAGUUCAUCUAGAUCUAGUUCUAGUUCAUCUAGUUCUAGUUCUAGUUCCUCUAGUUCUAGUUCUAGUUAGUUCUAGUUGUAAUCUAGAAAAUAGGGAGAGAGAAGAGGAGAGUGGAGGAGGAGCCAGAUCUAUCGGAUCUUUCUCAACAUUAUACUUUUGCAGCAUCUGGUUCGUUCUUGAUCGUUCUCCAGGUUCUUCAAUUCAUAAUUCCUGAGUUCUUUAAUUACUUUUAUUUACAUUCAAGUUAUUUAUUGGAUUCCCGCUUGCAUCAAGUGCUCUAGUCUUUAUAACGCUAGAGUAGUAAUUAAUAGAUUAGACGUGGUGUUUAGUCUUGCGAUUACCUAGAAUUGCACCCAAUCCUGCGGAUUGUUGUGGUAGCCUUAGGGUAGUGACAGCCCUAACGGUCGACGUAUUCCACCACGUUCGGAUCGGUGUUUGUAGGACCGUAGUCAGACCUUCCUAGCCCCCUUCUCAUCUCUUUCUGUGGUUAGUGCUCUGAUGUCCCGAUAUAGAUAAUAUUGAAGUAAUUCUUGAUUCUUAGAUCAACUAGAGAACUCUCAGGAAACUUCCUCUCUUCCCACCAAAAAUAAUCAUAUAGUUAUCCUUGGGCGAUCUUGAAUCUUAAUUAGUACACUCACGUUCCCUGUGGAAAAUCGAUACUCUGGAAUACUCACGGGUGAAGGCUACAUCGGUAUCCGUGCGCUUGCGGAUUUUUCUGUUUGCGUUUAAAAUACCCAACACAUACCACAUGGAUUUCACUCCAAACAUUAAUGAGCAUGGAAUUUAUUUCAUAGCCACUUCAUUUACUCCAUGCUCAUAUGUAACAUUUUCCCAAUCCAUUGGUCUCUCCAACAUCACCACAUUCGAGAUCUCCAACCCCCUCUUCCUUUCUAUUUAUGAAAGCUUUAAAAGGGCAGUUGUCGAUGCAUAUGUCUAUAAUAAAUAAGCACUGAUUAGAUAUAGGUCAGCGUUGGAGGGGAAACCACUUCGCCGACAUAAAUUGAUGGUUUCCCAAGGACAAGCUUAGUGUCCUAAAAUAAGCACUGAUUAGAUCAUAACAUGAGCUUUUAAUUAUUUGCAACAUUACCUUGUGUAUUGAGCAUAUAAGGAUAAUUGUAAAAAAUUUCCUUCGGGUAUUCAACCUUUCCAAGAUUGGAGCAACAAGAUCGGAUGAAUGACAAACACAAGGUAUGUCCAACCAAUCAUCAUACAACAUUGAAUUAAAUUCAUCCAAACUUGAAUUUUGCAAAAUUCAAGCUUGGGGGAGUAAUUUACAUAAAAACAUUCUUUGCCAUGUUGCUAUGUUGGUUAUCCCUACCUUUGAUACAUGCUCAAUUUGUUAAAUACUAAUCACACUACUUCAUCUCCAUUUGAGUAGAUCUCUAUAAAUGCUCUCAUGCUACCUUUAUUUGCUUUAGUAUAUGUCUAGGUUUGGAUUAGUUUCAUUUAUCUCUUAAUUAAGCAUGGUGCUUAGUUUAGGAAUGAUGAUCUUACUUCUAAGGGAUUUUAAAUUAAGCAUGGUGCUUAGGUUAAAAUGCCCUCCUAAAUCAAAUUAGACAUGGUGUCUAGGUUGAUAUUUAAGCCGAUAGUAUGCUAUAGUAGAUAUUGGAUAUUUUGUCGGACUAACCCCUGCAGGAAAACUUUCAAUAUCGACCUGGAAAGUCCUGAGAUAAACUCACAUUGGAGACAAAGAGAGAGACACAUGAAGUUUAACAAUUUAGACAAGAAAGGCAUAGCUCACAAGAGAUGAUCCAUGGAGGGUGCCACAAACACGAUGCACAACCGCUAAGAAAGGAAAGCUUCCACAUGGUGAUAUUGUACCAUCACUCUUCAAGUAAGGUAACAUCUUAAGGUACUUGACUAUCACUUUUAUAAGCUUCUCCUUGAUUCUGGCAUGCACAUGGAUAAAAAGACAAACAUGUAUGAUUUACAACUCUAGAUUAACCAACUCAAUCGAUUCAACAUGUUUAGUCCUUCCACCUUUGUGAUCCCACACUCCUAAUCAUAUGAGCUAAAAUGUUGCACACUCAAUCUUUGGAAGAUAUAUAUAAAAAAAUAAUAAGUAUAGAUAGAUUAUCUUUCCAUAAGGUUGAGCAAUCUGAUCUGGCAAAUGUUUUAAAUGUUACACUCAUGAUCUUAUUAUCCAUCAACUUUUUCUUGCUCACUAUGCUUAAGGUUAGAGAGAACAAAUACACUUUUGGUUCUGUUGGUUUUUCCACCAACAGGGCCCAUGCACUUGAUCUCUGCCCUGUCUCUAUGAGCAGGUACACUUCGAGCAAAAUAUGGAGGAGUUUUACAACUCCCUGACUCCACCAAGAGAAGAACCUGGAUCUACGAGCACAAACACACUGGAGAUACUAGACACUCAGGCAAUCACUACCCUGAGAUGCUUGAGGAUGUAAACUACAUCAACAACAACAACUACUACUACUACCGUCCUCAACAAAAUCAAGAGAGGCAAGCCAGGACACCCCGUCAUCCUGAUCUCCAUCGACAUGGUGGACUUCCUAGAAGCACUCUACGACUUUGGCUCUAGCGUCAACAUUAUACUCAGGGUACUCUAUGAAAAAUUCUUUGCACAUCCUUUCCUAGAAACAACCAUGUGUUUGCAGCUUGCAGAUCAGACACUAAGUUUCCCAAAAGGAAUAUUUAAGAACCUCUAUGUCCGAGUUGGUACCUUGUACGCACCAGCAGACUUCGUGGUGAUAGAGACUGGUACUGAUGAGAGGGCACCCAUCAUCCAAGGGAGGUCAUUCCUGAACACCUCAGGAGCCGACAUCUACGCUAGUGCUGCCAAGAUCAGUUUAUACAUCAAGGGGAAAGGAGAUGUUUUCCUUCAAGAACAAGACUACACAAACCUCAGAGCAAUCCCGACAUGAACCAAGGAAGAGGGCCAACAGGAGGAACAGGAACAAGCAAAUGUGGACCGAGUCAGCUAAGAUGGUCACUGCAGUUCAAGGAGGUCAAGAUCGUCGAUUUAAGUCACCGUUCUUGACCAAAAAGGAUGACCCAGUCACCUAUCAGCUCCUGUUCGGAACCAUGCCCCUAAAACCAACAUACAUUCAGCUCCAGAUGGCAGAUCAGACAUUCCGAAAGGGUAUUGACAAUGGAGAAGACAAGUAUGAUCCACCCAUCAUCCUUGGGAGACCGUUCCUCAGCACCGUUAAAGCAAUCAUCUACAUUGGAACCGGAGAAGUCCACAUGCACUUCCCCUCUGAGAAGGUACGCCACUAUUUUACUGACCCUAACUAUAUAGUUGAAGACUCUAAGCAGGUCAGAACAAAAAGAAGACGACGCAACCGCAACCAGAGGAGGCAAAUCAUCAAGGACGGAUGGGCAGACUACGAAGGAGAAGUGGUAAGGUCUGAAGACAUAGAGCUUGAACAGAACUGUCCUGAGGAGACCGUAGCACCGAGUCAGGUGUGGAGAGAGAAGAUAGUUAUACAUGAAGAGCAGGCGCCGCCGAAACCACCGACUACGCCAUCUAGCGAAUCCCAGGAUGACUGAGGAAACAGAGAGUCCCGUUCAGAGGACUUAAACACCGAACGCCUUGCCAAGGGUAAACAUGGUAGUUAUCUUAUUCCUUUCAAUUAUUUAAAAUAGUUUUCUUAGUUAAUCAGGUUCAUAUCAUCUUGAAAAGAAAAUAAAAAUGUUAAAAAUAGUAAGCCCCAUGUGAGUAUGCUUAUGGCAUAAAAAUAAGAUUGUGAUCCUACUAAAGAGAGUAACAUUUAUUGAGGAGGCUCAACAUGAUAAAGGCUAGAUACUUAUGCUAACACUUAACUAGUUCCACAAAGCUUUGUUGUCUAUUUGAGCUCCAUAGAAUUCAAGGAUCAAAGAAGACUAGCAGAAGGAGGACGUCCCAAUUGGUCAGGGUGCUGCCAACAUUCAAAUACACCUCCGCCACCUGCUAGCUACAUCAGAAGAAAUUACGUCAAAAUCCAGAUUGGGGGAGAGCACCCCCAUUUAUCCAGCUAAGUGUUCUACUCAUGUUUAAUAAUAAAAAGAUGCAUAAUCAUGUCGGUGUUUCCCCCCGGGGGGUCACACCAACGGGUAAACUUGUAUGCGUGCUCCCCUUUCCAGAUGGUGAUGCAAGAAAAGACACAAAGAUUUAUCCUGGUUCGGGCAAGAGAAGGCCCUACGUCCAGCGGGGGGAGAGGUGUUUGUAUUAUCUUGCGCCUAAGUUCUUGUACAGGGGUGAAUACAGGCGUGAGAUGUAUAGAGAUGGAGUAUGGAAGCUCUACUACGUGUGUGUGUGUUGUGUUGUAUCGCGUGUCCUGUAUCCGCUCCAGGGCCUCCCCUUUUAUAGUUCCAAGGAGGGGCCUAGGGUACAUGUAUAGGCGUCAGAGUAGGGGUCGAUAGCGGUAUGGCGUGCUGACCUACUCGAGGCCUCCGUACAGGCAUUGUCUCGAGCCAUCUUGUCUUGGUACCUUGAUGAUGAUUACGCGUGCCCCUAUAUCCCGCUCUGUGCGCCGGCUUGGGUUGGUUUAUCUGUUGCACGCUUGUACGUCGCGGCAGCAGCUGCGUCGGAGUGGUUGAAGUGCUGUCAUUCGUCGCCCGACCCUUUCCUAGGAAGGAAACAUGCCUACUCGAGGGUCGGAUGCCGUGUAGCGCCUCGCUAGCUAGAGCGCUGACCUUGGGCGUCUCGAGGGGGGUCUUGAUUAGACGUCCCGACCCACUUCCUGCCUCCUGCCAUGCUCUGGUUCGUUUGGUGAGGAAGGCUGCAAAAAGAAUGACAGCAUGGGUGCCUGUUCCCUAUCACGCUUCCCGUGACUGGCAGGUUAGGUGAGAACACGGUAGGCGCAUUAAAUGCCCUGGUUCCCGUGCCCGCGUCAGGCGGCGGGCGGCGUCCUUGCGCUCGAGGCCUUCCGAUUCGCUCGAGCCUGUUUCCGUAUUCGACAGUAGCCGGCGCUCGAGCCCUGGUCGAUUCGCAGGACGCUCUUUCUGUGUUCGAGACUAUGGUCGUCGUGGACUGUGCAUACAACUAGAGGGGGGGCGUCGAGUUGGAUACCUCGACCUGUGUACGGAUACUCUUGAUAUGCUCAUCAGUUAGGGCACCCCUUACUGAUAUCCUCGACAGUAGCCCCCGAGUCUCCAGUCGAGCGCUGGCGCUCGAGUGGAGGCUAUAUUUUGUGGUCGUGUUUCUGUGGGGGCGCGCGAGCGACCCCACGGGGGUAGCCCGCGAGCCCUUGGAGGAGUUUUUGACUCCUUCGAGGGUUAUAUUGCCUAAUUUGUGGAAAAGCUCUCGAUAUCCACCAUGGAAGGCUUCUUCAGGGCAUUGAGCGAGCGUCAUCUACCCUAGACUGAGUUCCUAGCGGGUAACCGAAGUGAGAACCUGUGCCCCUUUCGAGGGGGUCAGCUGUAGCCUGGAGGCGUUGUCAUAAAGCGGGGUCGAUAUGGUUGGGGAUGCUGGCCUCGUUCGAUAGAGUCUAGUGGCUCGAUGCCUCCCUUCGUGGGGACUCCUCUCGACCGUCUCGACCUUGCCUUGGACAUCCCCAACGAAUUCUUUCGAGGCGGGCCUCGACAUUCGACCACUCCCUAGGCAUCCCUGACUCUGGUACUCAAGAUCGGCUGUCGAACCCGAUCGGUGGGUCAGCCUGCGACCUCUCAAGAUUUUAAUUGUAACAAAUGCGUACCUUAGCUUACGAGGGAAGGAAAAGGCCGUUUUGGUUCGCCUUUUUGCCAGUUGGGCACGUCUUUUCAGGCGAGAGCCGUUGCAGCACUGUGCCUGCGUGGAAUCCGUAGCGUCCCGUCUGUGAGGGAGAUGAGAACCGUUAGGCGGCGCAUUUAUGGGAGGAGUUACCGUAUCUAUCGGAUCUGUCCGUUGGUGAGUUGCCGUCUAUAAAUGCGCCGUGGCCUUGUUGCCAUUGUUCCUUCCACCUUCUGCCUCCAUUCUCGCCUCAGCUUCCUUGCCGUCUUACACGCGCGCACCCUCGAGCAGUAGAAAAGUCACCUUUCUCCCACCUGAAAAUGCCUGUGAGACUCAUCGCCACCGAUGACUGGUGCCCGUCGUCGAUGACGGAGCGCCGGCUGCUGGAGCUCGAGAGGGAGGGACUCCUGCGCCCUCGCACUUUGUCGUCGCGACCGGAGUGGAUCGCGCCGACAGCGGACCACCGGGAGCCAAGGCCGCCCAAGGGCUACGUGGUCUCCUUCGCCAAGUUCCACCGCCGUGGCUUGGGUUCUCCUCCGAGCCGCUUCAUGCGGGCGCUCUGCCACUACUACGGGGUGGAGCUCCAGCACUUCUCGCCAAACGCCGUCACCGCCGCGGUGUGUGAUGGCUAUCUGGGGAUGAUGCCCCACUGGGACCUGUGGCUCCAUCUGUACCGGGGUGAGUUCUUCAACGCCCCUACUGGAACCACAGGUGUGAGGAAGCCUGUACGGGCCGGGUGCCUCAACCUAGUGCUGAAGACUGGCAAAUCGGAGAGGCCGCGCAAGUACAUCCCGGUGGGGCUAAUGUCGAACCAUGCCGGAUGGGACUCGCAGUGGUUUUAUCUACGGAACGACGAUGACCUCUUCCCCGUCUACACCGGGCGCUUGAUCUCGGAGCGCCUGGGCCACUAGAGCUACGGCGUCAUCCAAACUCACCAAGCACGGCUCGACCCCCUCCUCAACGCCCUGAAGAAGCUACGCGAUGAAGGCCUGUCAGCCGCUCUCGUUCUCUCGGCCGUCCAUCAUUGGAGAUUUCUCCCGUUGAUGUCUCGGCCCUUGAGGAUGGACGAGAUGGGUCCCGGCGUUUUGUCCCAGGAUCUCGAGGCUUGCCGAAUGUCCAACGAGGCUCCGAAAGACGAUGAGGUUGUGGCCCGAGUUAGGGCGGCCGUUGCUGGCGACUUCCAGCCAGAGCACGUCAAUGGCUUCCCCAUGAGGCCCGAUCAGGGGUCGAUCGACCUGGUAAGUCCUUUUCUUAUGUAUGAUCUUGAAUCUCGAUCCUCUUCGACCACUUUUAAGACCCAUCUCUGUCCGUGCAGGGACUGAUCGACGCUCGAUCCUCGAGGCCUCCAAUAAAGCAGGACGAAGUGGAUCGUGACAGGCGGCGACAGUCCGCAGAAAAGCAGAAGUCCACAGUGGACUUGAAAAAGAAGAAGGAAAAGAAGAGGAACCUCGAUCGUCAAGCGCUGGAGACGCAUCGGGCGAUGUCCAGGCAGAGGUGGGAGCCAGAGGAAGAAUCCCCCGACGAGGACGAUGGCGGCGAUGGCGGUGACGACAGCGAUGAUUCCGAGGGAAUGGCGUCCCGUCUCGACCGGAUCCUCGAGGGCCCUCACCCGACCAUCGUCGACGUCCCGCGGACGGAAGCCCCAAAGGGGGCGCCAAGCGGGCCUCGCGAAAGCCAGCAGAGGCAGCCGUCCCCACGUCGUUCCCGCGCCGACACUCCUCCAGAGCCCGCGCCAGGUCGGACCGUCCCCUGCCCCCAACCUCCUCCCGCGUCUAAGGUAGGCCACCGAGUUAAGUCCCUGAUGAUGGGGCCGCUGACUCGUGGUCACGCCGUGGCCUCGAGCAAGGGAGGAACGGAUCGUAGGAGCGCCAGUCUAGGCGCCGGCCAGGCGGGAGAUGCCGAGCUGAGACCGGCGCCCGCUCGCGAGGGGCCCGGAGCCUCGACGCGGGGUGGCUCGAAGCCUGCUGGUCGAGGGACCGGUAGGCGGGUCGCCCUUCCUGUGGGGUAGGAUCUCUGACGUCAUGAUUCUUAUCUUUCGGUAUCUUUGCAUUUUCUUGGGCCGUGAUCUUUAUUUAUGCUCGUUCUUCUUUUCUCAGGUUGAAGCGGACGCUCGAACAGGCCCAGCCCUCGAUGGCCAAGAGGCUUAAGGUGGGAGCGGCCUCCAAAGACUCAGGUUAGUGGUACACUCCCAAUUUCGUGUUAGCUUUUUGUCAAUUAUCAUGGCGGCUGAAUUUUUGCCUUUGAGUGCUUACAGGCUCCUCCGACCCCCGGUCGUCGACUGGUGUCGAGGGCGCUCUGCCCCGUCCAUUGGUGGGGGAGUCUGCUCCACCGUCACAGAAAAGGAUCGAGGCGCCUCGUCCUCAAGAACAGGAGGGAGCCCCCGAGCCUCCACGCUCUAGGGUCGAGGAGGAUCCUAUCACAAUAAGUGACGGGUCCGGUGGCGACGGGCCUUUGAAGGACGCCCGCCCCAUGUACGAGGAGGUCGAGGCCCCUCCUACCACGAAGCAGACGCCUUGGCCCAUCGGGCUCCAUUCUGUCGAGGAGCGGAGGAAGAAGGAGGAGGAGGAGCACGAGCAGGAGACGCGGCAACAGCUGCGUGAGGGACGGCAGCAGCCGUAGCAGGAAGAAGGAGAGGAGGAGCGGUGGCCAGGGGGACCCCUGCUCGAGGAGUUGUUGGAGCAGGAUCGGCAGCAGGAGCUACGGGAGCUCCAGGAGCAGCAGCAGCAGAGGAGCCAGCAGUUAGGGGAACUGCUCGAGCCGCCACCUCGCAGUCUGACCCAGUCAGCGCCGCCGACGCCACAAGAGCCGGAAACCGGGGAGGAGGUUUUGCGUGUCUAUGGUCCACCGACGCCGGCGUGCCUCCGUCUGGGAGCGCCCGCCUCGAUCCCAGCUGAGUCAGGGCGAGCGGACGGCGUGGUGGCGCUCACCUGUAUGAUGUGCACCCCCGUCGACUCUCAGUCAGAGGUCAACGGCACGAUCUAUGGCAUCGACGGGAUCGCUCCUGGAUUCCUCCGGGAGCGUCAGUUGUGGGAGGACCGCAUUCCCGCCGAGGAAGACAAAGCUAGGACGUCGGGCGGUGGCGGUGCUAGCGAAACGGGAACUUGGAAGACGGUGGACGACGACGGCCAAUUCCCCUCCCUCGUCGACCUGUUUUUGCGCCACGGGGGGUCGCUCGAGACUGUUGAGGAGCUCAUUCGGGGUGUCAAGGCGCGCGCCGAUCAGGAGAUGGAGAACUGGUGCCCCGACCGGAUCCGCAUUCGGGCCUCCACCGACCCGUCCGAGCCUAACAUCUUUAUGGACGAUUGGAAGGAGGCCGAGAAGUGGGAGCAUCUCGAGGAGCUUCGCCUCCGGAUGAAGCAUGUGGUGGGGCUCUUGUCCGACGUCGUCAACAAUGGGCUCAGACCGGCCUACUUUGUAAGUGAUUUUGGUCUUGCGUUCUGGACGUUCUGGUUUUGUGUUCUUACUGUUCCACUGCUGCUUCGCAGGAUCUAAAGGAGACCUCCCGCAUCAAAUCAAGCUUUAUUCAUGCGACGAGGGGCGGCUGGGAGCAACUCCCUCUCCUCAAGGACAAACUCCUGGAGUCGCAGGAGAAACUCCUCAAGGCCUAUAAGGAGCUUUUGGCGCUCGAGGAGGAGAAGAAGGAGAGGGAGGCCGCCCUGGCUGAGGCUCGGGAGGCCUCGAGGAAGGCAGUGGAAGAGGCCGCGCUGUUGAGGGAGCGGGCUAUGAUGGUCGAGGAGGCUGCGUCCAAGGCCCGAGAAGAGGCCUUGUCUUACAAGAGCGCGGCCACUGACCUGGACAAGGAGAAGGGCCUCCUCAAGACAGACCUUGCCUCCCUUCGAGAAUCCUUCCAAAAGAUGAAGGUGGAGUGUGUCAAUGGCGAGAUUGCCCAGAGCGCCGCGGAGGAGGCCAAGAAGAAGGCUCUUGAGGAUCUCGAGGUGGAGUGGACUCGAUCUCGCAGCCUUUCUGGCGAUGUUGACCAUCUGAAGAGAGCGCUGUUGGAGAAAGAUUGAGCUAUCGCGUAGGCAGGCAAGGCGAUCGAGGACCUACGCGUCACCAACACCGAGCUGGUGCGCUCCAACAAGGAGAUCGAGAGGGCCAACACUAACUUGGUCGGCGAGAAUACGGCUCUGGAGGAGAGGAUUCAUGGUAUGUUUCCAUUCUCGAGUUUCAUUUCCGAGGUGUGGUUUGUGUUAUCUAAUUUCUCCGUGUCGGUCCUUGUAGGGCUAAAAGACGAGCUGCAUGCCGCUCAAGUCAAGGCCUGCUCCACCAAGGCUCAGCUCGAGGGGGAGGUCGCUUUGAACCGUCGACUGCGGACGGCGAUAAGUGAUCUCUCAGCCUCCAGGGAGCUCGAACCCGUGGACGAGUCGAGGGAGGAGGCUCGAGGCGAUGCACUGGUCGACCAGCUAUGCUAUCUAGGUGCUACGCUGAGGGACCGGGUGCGGGACGCCCUCCAUACCGGGGUAAAGGGGGCAAUGGCAGUUGUCUGCUCAGGCUUUUCCUACGAUAUGGAGGUGGUGUCCCACGGCUUCGUCACCGAUAUUUCCAAGACCGACGCAGAGAACGAGGAGAGGCUCCACGCCUUGAUCGACGACACGGAGGCUCCUGGGAAAGGCUGGCGAGGCUGUUCGAGCCGGAAGUGCUUCCUCCCGAGACUAGCUCGGGCGCGGACGAUGGCAGCGAGGGCUGAGAUGUAGAUUAAGGCCUGCGAGCCUACUUUGGGUGCUAGGGCCCCUUGUAUAGUACUUAUUAUUCUGUCUUUAAGUAAUACUGUGUCUUUUAAGCGGUUUUAUAGAUCUAUGAAUAUUUGCCUAUCUUUCCGCUCGAGGUUCCUCUGUUUCCCUUUGUGCCUGUGUUUGUAUUCCUCGUUUGGUCUUUUGUUUAAGGUGAUCUCAAUUGCCUCAAGGGUGAGGAAGCGAGUAGAGUUUCCAUAGCCCGGGGGCGUAGGAGUUCUCAGGCUCGUUGUCUCUCGGCCCUUAAGGGGCUCGAGGUGCCUCUACUACUCGACCGUGCGAGGUUUACUAAGUAGGGCUGAAAAAAUUACUUGGCUUUUUCGGCACUUGGGGGGGGCAUCCCCCCACUAGCCCCCGAGGGGGUAUCGACUAUGAUUGGUCAUAGUUGGUACUCCCUUCUAACGUCGAGAUUUCGACCCGUUAAAAAGUAAAUUACUCGAGGGAAAGAUCUUAUUCAUUCAUGCAUUCAUUCAUAAGGUCUUGGUACAAGACGUACAUGGGAACAUAAAGCUUUGAAAUUCUAGGGGUAGAAUCGACGUAGCUGUUCGAUGUUCCACGUGUUGGUGAAGACCGCCCCCUUUUCGUCCGCGAGCUUGUAUGUCCUUGGCUUCAGGACCUCGGCAACCAUGUAUGGGCCCUCCCAGGGUGGGGUCAGCUUGUGACGUCCCUGGUUGCUUUGCUGCCGCCGUAGGAUGAGAUCACCCACGUUCAGAUCCCUUUUGCAUAUGUGCUUGUCGUGGUAGCGUUGGAGCUUUUGUUGGUAUCUGGCGGAGUUGAGGAGAGCCAUGUCUCGAGCUUCCUCGAGUUGGUCGACCGCAUUUUCUCGAGUCUCCUUAUUUGAUUGCUCGUUGUACGCUUUGAGUCAAGGGGACCCGUACUCGAGGUCCGUUGGGAGCAUAGCCUCAGAGCCGUAGGCCAUGAAGAAUGGGGUGUAUUUUGUGGCCCUGCUCGGUGUCGUCCUCAAGCUCUAUACGACCAAAGAGAGCUCUUCGACCCAUUUUUUGCCGAACUUCUUCAAGCAGUUGUAGAUCCUCGGUUUGAGGCCCUACAAAAGCAUGCCGUUGGCAUGCUCGACCUGGCCGUUAGUUCGAGGGUGGGCUACUGCAGACCAAUUCACACGGAUGUGAUGCCGAUCACAGAAGUCUAAGAACUUUUUGCCGGUGAACUGAGUGCCGUUGUCGGUGAUGAUGACGUUGGGAAUCCCAAACCGGUGGAUGAUGUCGGUGAAGAAAAGAACGGCAUGCUCGGAGCGGAUGUUAAUGAUGGGGCGAGCCUCGAUCCAUUUGGAGAAUUUGUCGAUGGCCACCAGCAAAUGGGUGUAUCCCCCUGCUGCCUUCUGUAGGGGCCCUACUAGGUCGAGUCCCCAUACCGCGAACGGCCACGUGAUGGGGAUCAUCUGGAGAGCGUGGGCGGGGAGGUGCGUCUACUUGGCAUAAAACUGACACCCAUGGCAUGAGCGUACGAGUUCGAUGGCGUCAGCUACGGUCGUUGGCCAGUAGAAGCCUUGUCGGAAAGCAUUCCCUACAAGGGUCCGCGGAGCAGCGUGGUGGCCGCAAGCCCCCGAGUGUAGAUCCUCGAGGAGUUUUCGGCCUUCCUCUAUGGUGAUGCAGCGCUUCAAGAUUCCUGUCGGGCUUCGUCGGUAUAGCUCAUUGCCUUCGCCGUAGAUUACGUAUGACUUGGCCCGUCGAGCGAUACGGCGGGCCUCGGAUCGAUCUUCUGGUAGCUCGCAACGAAUCAGGCAGUCGAGGAAUGGCGUGCGCCAAUCGAACGGUCGACCGGGUCGCUGCUCUGCCUCCAUUACCUCUACUUCCGCUAGCAGUGUCUCGAUGGUGUCAGUUUGUUGUGGGGCGGUGUUUUUGACGUCAGCCCCCGAGCCCAAGUCGACGGAUGGCUUGUGGAGAUCUCUCGAGAAUGCGUCGGGCGGGACCGUGCCUCGAGGUGACGCGAUCUUGGCGAGUUCGUCGUGUGCCUCGUUGUAGCGUCGGGCGAUGUGGACGAGUUCGAGGCCGUGGAACUUAUCCUCGAGUUGACGUACCUCCUUGCAAUAUGCCUCCAUUUUUGGGUCGUGGCAGUUGGAGGCUUUCAUCACUUGGUCGAUGACGAGUGGAGAGUCGCCUCGAACGUCGAGGCGUCGAACUCCCAGCUCGACGGCGAUCUUCAGCCCAUUGACAAGGGCCUCGUAUUCCACAACGUUGUUAGAUGCCGCAAAGUGUAUCCUGAUGACAUACCUCAUAUGAACGCCCAGGGGCGAGAUGAAUAGCAGACCUGCCCCAGCUCCCGUCUUCAUUAGAGACCCGUCGAAAUACAUCGUCCAUAGUUCUGCUUGAACCUGAGCUGGGGGAGCUGGGAGUCCAUCCAUUCCGCGACGAAAUCCACCAGGGCUUGUGACUUGAUAGCUUUGCGGGGCGCAUAAGUGAGGGUCUCACUCAUGAGCUCGACCGACCACUUGGUGAUUCUUCCCGUGGCCUCCCGACUCUAGAUGAUCUCACCCAAGGGGAAGGACGAGACCACCGUGAUAGGGUGGCCGAGGAAGUAAUGUUGCAGCUUGUGUCGGGUGAGGAUCACGGCGUAGAUCAGCUUUUGGAUCUGUGGGUACCGUGCCUUGGUCUCUGAAAGCACCUCGCUGAUGAAAUAGACCGGCCUCUUGACUGGCAGCGCAUGACCCUCAUCCCGCCUUUCGACCACUACUGCCACACUGACCACCUGGGUCGUCGAGGCGACGUACAAAAGUAGAGGUUCUGUGGGUUGAGGUGGGACUAGGACCUGGGCGGAGGUCAGUGUUUUCUUUAAAUUAUCGAGGGUUUCCUCGACUUCUGGGGUCCAAGAGAAACACUUGGUUUUUUUCAAGAGCCGAUACAACGGCAAUGCCUUUUCUCCUAACCUCGAGAUAAAAUGACUCAGCGCCGCCAAACAUCCCGUGACCUUUUGCACUCCCUUGACAUCUCGGAUCGGCCCCAUUCUCGUGAUGGCUGAGACUUUCUCGGGAUUGGCCUCUAUGCCGCGUUGGGAGACUAUGUAUCCUAGGAGCAUGCCUCGGGGUACAACAAAGACACAUUUCUCUGGGUUGAGCUUGAUCUUGCUGGCGGUAAGCAAAUGAAAGUGAUCUCGAGGUCCUGAAUCAGGUCUCCUCGUUGCUUUGACUUGACGACGAUGUCGUCGACAUAGGCCUCGACCGUCGACCCUAUGUGUUUGCCAAACACGUGGAGCAUGCAGCGCUGGUGUGUUGCUCCCACGUUUCGAAGCCUGAACGGCAUAGUUACAUAACAGUACAUCCCAAAAGGCGUAAUGAACGAUGUCGCGAGCUGGUCGGACUCUUUCAUUUUUAUUUGAUGGUAACCAGAAUAUGCAUCAAGGAAAGAAAGGGUUUCACAUCCCGUAGUAGAAUCAACAAUUUGAUAGAUACGUGGUAGUGGAAAAGGAACUGUCGGACAUGCUUUAUUUAAACUUGUAUAAUCGACACACAUCCUCAUUUUCCCAUUCUUUUUCUUAACUAGUACAGGGUUUGCUAACCAGUCGGGAUGGUGAACCUCCUUGAUGAAUUCGGCCGUCAAAAGCUUGUGGAUCCCAUCACCAAUGAUCUUGCGCUUCUCCUCGUCGAAGCAGCGCAACCGUUGCUUCACUGGCUUGGAACCGGCUCAAAUUUCCAAGGAGUGCUCGGCGACUUCCCUCGGUAUGCCCGGCAUGUCCGAGGGGCUCCAUGCAAACAUGUCGGCGUUUGCACGGAGAAAGUCGACGAGCACGACUUCUUAUUUGGGGUCGAGGUCGGCGUUGAUCGUCAGCACCUUGCCGUCGGAGUUGUUGGGGUCGAGCGGGAUCUUCUUCGUUCCUUAUGCCGGCUCGAAGCUGCCCGCGUGGCGCUUGGGCUCUGGAGCCUCUACGGCUAGGGCCUCGAGCUUCAAGGCGAGCUCGGUGGAGUUCUCGACAGCUUCCCCGUAUUCGACGCAUUCGACGUCGCACUCGUACGCGUGCUCGUAGGCGGAGCUAACGGUGAUGACACCCUUGGGCCCGGGCAUCUUCAGCUUCAGGUAUGUGUAGUUAGGGAUAGCCAUAAACUUGGCGUAACCCGGGCGCCCGAUGAUGGCGUGGUAUGUGCCCCGGAAUCCCACCACCUCAAAGGUGAGGGUCUCCUUUCUGAAAUUGGCCGCCAUGCCAAAGCAGACCGGCAGGUCGAUUCGACCUACUGGCAACGCCUUCUUUCUAGGUACGACGCCAUGGAAGCCACCGGCGCUUGGUUGGAGCUGCGCCCUGUUGAUGCCGAGGAGGUCGAGGGUCUCGAGGUAGAUGAUGUUCAGGCUGCUGCCGCCAUCCAUCAGCACCUUUGAGAGUCUGGUGUUGACGAUGAUGGGGUCGACGACGAGCGGGUAGACGCCAGGGGAUACUACCUUGUCGGGGUGGUCGUCUCGAUCGAUGGUGAUGGGAGUGCUUGACCAGCUGAGGUACUGGGGCACUGCCAUCUUGGCCGCAAAGACCUCACGACGCUCCCUCUUGCGCUUCCUUGCGGUUAGCUGCAUCGAGGGUCCACCGUAGAUCAUGUUGCAGUCGUGGACGGCUGGGAAUCCUUCGUCGUCUUUGUCAUCCCCCAUGUCGCCGUUCUUCUCUUUCUUCAGAUCGUCACGGGCGUCCUUCUUGAACCCUAGGCCGUCGAAGUGCUUCUUCAGCAUACGGCAGUCUUCGAGAUUGUGGUUUGCCCCUCCCUUAUGAUAAGGGCAGGGCUCUUUUAGCAUCUUGUCAAAGAUAGCCCCCUCUAGGGGUCCUCGAGGCCUUUUGCGCUCCAUGGCGGCGACGAGAUCGUCGUCGAGGUCCACCCGCUGGAACGGCCGUGUUUUCUUCAUCUUCUUGUUCUUCUUGGGCCCUCGACUAGGGCCCUCAUCAUCAUUGGCUGAUAGCUUGCCUUUCCUUCCUUCGCAGCUAAAGAAGGCACCGACCGCUUCUUCCCCUGCAGCGUAGUUUGCCACUACGUCCAUCAGCUCAUCGAUGGUCUGAUGGCAAUUCCGGCCUAAUUCCCGCACCAAGUCUCGACUGGUGGUGCCAGAGACAAAGGCCAGGAUGACAUCAUGGUCGGGGAUGUGUAGCAGCUCGGUGCGCUGCUUCGAGAAGCGUCGAGCAUAUUCUCGGAGAGUCUCUCCUGUCUUCUGCUUGCAUUUGCUGAGGUCCCACGAGUUGUCGGGCCGUAUGUAGGUUCCUUUGAAGUUACCCUCGAACACCCUGACCAAAUCGACCCAGUCGUGGAUCAGGUUGGCUGGGAGCUCCUCGAGCCAUCUGCGGGCGGUGUCGGAGAGGAAGAGUGGUAGCUGUCAGAUGAUGGCUCGAUCGUCCCCUCGAGCGCCUCCCAGCUGAUAGGCUAGCCUGAAGUCUGCCAGCCAUAGCUCUGGCUUGGUCUCGCCAUUGUAUUCAGCAAUGCUGGUCGGGGUCAGAACGGGCUGGGCAGUGGCGUGCUGCGGAUUGCCCUGCUGAACACCCGAGGGCCCGGCGGUUCUGGGGACAUCCGUUCCUCGUCGCUGUCGUAUCUUCCGCCACGGUGGGCGCUGUAACCACGCUCUUCUGCGUCCCCGUACCGACGGCGACGGUUCUCGUCGAUGUCGCGUCGUGCAUCGUGUCAUCGUUGGUUGUCGACGGGGAGGACGAGUGUUGUCUUUUUCCCUCGUGGGGGCGGCUGCUGAUGGACCGACACCUCCUUUUCAUUCUGGGCCGGCUCAUCACGCUUUUCUAUGGCCACUCCUCGACGUCGAGAGCCGAGCUCUCGGCCUGCUGAACUGCCGCCACCUGGAGCAGAGUCUGCACCAUGUCUCGAAUGCGUCGCACUUGGGAGUUUGACGGUUCGAGCAUAUUACGCAGCAGCAUUGUCGCCGCCACGACGUUCUGGCCUGCUCGAGGGAAACAGCUGACGGGCUGCUCAGGCUCUCCGUCUCCGACGAUCUACCGAUGUACCUCUCGAGCCCGUCUGCGGACACUUCCACCAGGCGGAUAGGGCAGGUCUUGCUCGAGGAUCUAUUCAAGCAGAACAAGGCGCUCGCGAUCCUCAUCGAGCUUCGCUUUGAGCUCUCGUAGCUGCGCAAGUUGCGCAGUUCUGUCUUCUUGCGGAGGGGGGUCGACCUGACCGUCAUUCCCAGGCGUCCUGGGGUCCUCCCUUGCUGCAGGGACUCGACCGCCUACAACAGCGUCAUGUGUCUCGUCGGUGGUUUCCACUGCUCCGUCGAUGUUGAAGCAUUCCCUAGUAGGGUCGUAGCUGUCGGACUCAGAGGCGGAGUCCGGCUCGGCGAUGUAGGAGCAUCCACAUCCCUCCUCCAGCAGCCGUUGCCUGAGUGAGGUGAUUGUGUAUCACCGAGGCCCUAGGCGACGGAGGCCUCAUACGUGGGUGAAAUAUGGCAGCUCGGACGUCCGUUGGUGUACUCCAGUGUCGCGUGGGAGGACCAUUGGUCUCUCCACGUACGUCUAGGCAUUUGGGCAUAUCGCCCUAGCGAGCGACGCCGCGGCAUUGUCCAGACCGAACGACAGCGCUCUUCUUGGGGCGAACAACCCAUGUGGAAGUAGCGUAGCGGCUGGGGAGAGCGCGCGGGGCACGCCACCUCCCAUCGUCGUCGUGCGAUCCUCGUGGCGUUGGGCUGCCAUACCCGCGGUUUCGGAGCGCGAGGCUGUUGGCUCCUGUGUCACCUCCUGCCUGGCUCGAACUAUCAGUCAUGACGAGGCAGAAGGGUGAUGGUGGCACUGUCCACGCCUCUUCAUUGGCGGGGAGGCAUGGUGGCGAGGACGUCUCGGAGCCCUCAAUCGUGCUGGCGCAACGCGGGUUCCUCCCGAUGCUUUGACCGAGAGCAGGAUCAUGUCAUAGCCAGAACCGGUAGACAUGAACUCGAGGCUCCCGAACCAAAUCACCGUGGAGCACGGAAUCAGCGAAACGAGAAUUGCCAUCUGGAAAGGAAUGGGAAAUUGGCGAAAAACACGCAGGACCCCUACCUGGCGCGCCAACUGUCGGUGUUUUCCCCCCGGGGGGUCACACCAACAAGUAAACUUGUAUGCAUGCUCCCCUUUCCAGAUGGUGAUGCAAGAAAAGACACAAAGAUUUAUCAUGGUUAGGGCAAGAGAAGGCCCUACGUCCAGCGGGGGGAGACGUGUUUGUAUUAUCUUGCACCUAAGUGCUUGUACAGGGGUGAAUACAGGCGUGAGAUGGAUAGAGAUGGAGUAUGGAAGCUCUACUACGUGUGUGUGUGUUGUGUUGUAUCGCGUGUCCUGUAUCCGCUCCCAGGCCUCCCCUUUUAUAGUUCUAAGGAGGGGCCUAGGGUACAUGUAUAGGAGUCAGAGUAGGGGUCGAUAGCGGUAUGGCGCGCUGACCUACUCGAGGCCUCCCUACAGGCGUGGUCUCGAGCCAUCUUGUCUUGGUACCUUGAUGAUGAUUACACGUGCCCCUAUAUCCCGCUCUGUGCGCCGUCCUGGGUUGGUUUAUCUGUUGCAUGCUUGUACAUCGCGGUAGCAGCUGCGUCGGAGUGGUUGAAGUGCUGUCAUUCAUCGCCCGACCCUCUCCCAGGAAGGAAACGUGCCUACUCGAGGGUCGGAUGCCGUGUAGCGCCUCGCUAGCCAGAGCGCUGACCUUGGGUGUCUCGAGGGGGGUCUUGAUUAGACGUCCCGACCCACUUCCUGCGUCCUGCCACGCUCUGGCUCGUUUGGUGUGGAAGGCUGCAAAAAGAAUGACAGGACGGGUGCCUGUUCCCUAUCACGCUUCCCGUGACUGGCGGGUUAGGUGAGAACACGGCAGGCGCAUUAAAUGCCCUGGUUCCCGUGCCCACGUCAGGCGACGGGCGGCGUCCUUGCGCUCGAGGCCUUCCGAUUCGCUCGAGCCUGUUUCCAUAUUUGACGGUAGCCGACGCUCGAGCCCUGGUCGAUUCGCAGGACGCUCGAGCCCUGUUUCCGUGUUGGAGACUAUGGUCGUCGUGGACUGUGCAUACAACUAGAGGGGGGUCGAGUUGGAUACCUCGACCUGUGUACGGAUACUCUUGAUAUGCUCAUUAGUUAGGGCACCCCUUACUGAUAUCCUCGACAAUCAUAAAAAUCCAAAUAAAGCUUUUGUGCUUAUAUAUAUCUUUGCUUAAUUUGAUAAAUAAAUAAAUAAAGUUUGCUAUGAACCCUCAUGACAAGCUCUCACAUGGAAAUGAUGAAUAGUUGCUCUGCCAUGACUAGUUCUCAAAAUUGAAAUCUCUCUCAAGUUUAGGCAUGACUGUUAUUAAUUAAGAUUUGCUCUAAACCUGAACUUGUGGGAAGAAAACUUGAUCUAAAGUCUAAGUCGUUAACGGAUACGAUAUGGGAAGCUUGAGCUGUUGUUUAUCUGUUCCUAGAGAUGCUAGAAUUCUAGAGAAUUUUAUCUUUGAAAAUCUUUAAAAUAUCACAUGAUGAGUUCCUGUAUGAUGAGAGUUUAAAUUCCUACCACAUCCAUAUAUACAUGCUUGCUAGACUUAGCCACACAUUUACUUUUUACUGCUUAUGAGCAUUGAGUGUGGUCAAGCUGUGUAGACCCUUAGGAGCUUGUCAUGUGGUUGAAAUCAAGAUCUACUUGCACGUUCACUCAUACAUGCUGCUUCUACUCCGGAAGUACGCAUCCACAUAUAUCCACCCAUUUCCAUCUUCAGAACCACCCAAAAAUAUUCUACUCCUAAUCCGGGAGAGAAUAGCCAAAAAACAUUUCUGUUUUUCUCCUGUGAAAUAAAUGCUCGAGUUAUCUUGGUUACUACCACUUGCUAUAUUAUCUGAUGAGAUGAGUGUUUUUUUAAAAAAAGAAAGAGAUACGAGGAAAUAAAAAGGGGCAAGUGCCCGGAACCUCAAAAGAAAAGAAAAAGUGAGACGAGACGUAAAAAUAGACAAGUGUCCGAUAGUAGAAAUAGGGGUACAAGAUACCCACCUGAGAGUAAAGAAAAAGAAAAUAUAGAGCAUCUCAUUCUCCUCAAAAAGUUUCAAAGGAGCAAGAGAGGUAUGUAUCCCCUCAAAAGAGCACAAGUAGAAUUAGACGUUCACCAUUGCUAUCACCAUACACCAUUCAUUCGCCACACAUGCACAUCUUGAUUUGACUUAUUGACUUGUUCUUCUGGAUCCAUGGUUUGACUAUACAAUAAAUGUCUUGUAAGUUUGUAUUAGCUAUCUCCCACCUAUGAGC